GCCCCAGUGGGAAGUCAGCUUGAAAAGGUUACAGAGGCUGCAGUGGGGACCCAAAGUCUGGGGGCCAAAUGGAGAGAUUUAUAUUUUGUGUUGACUGUGACUCCUGUAGCUGCAAGUGUUGGUGAUACAGGCACUUGGAGUUGGGAUGAUGUGCUGUGUAGCUCUCUGAGUACUGCUCUCAGGAGCUGCUUGGGGAAGGGUACGAGAGUGCGGCAAGCGUGGAGUGAUGUUUUCCCAGAGCAGCCUUUUAGCCUCAAGCCAUCUGAAGUUCACAGGUUUCCUGAACCGAAGACGUAAUCUCAGCAGCAAGGAAAUCAUUUCAAGCGUUUCCAGGACUUUGAAAGAAGCAGGAGUUCACUGAGAGGGGAAAACUGCCUGCAGGGCGAGCUUUGUGCGUUUCAUCCACCCGCGGAAUACGUUUCCAGGAGGAAAAACUGCAGCAGAACGAGCCCUAACGCCGCCCGCUCGGCAAGCUAAACGCGGAUCUCGCAAAAUCAUCUCUCGAUGAAGAUUUUUUCACUAAAACCAUGGGAGAAGUUGGGAUUUUCUUUGGUUCGACCCCAAUAGGCAUUCACUGCUGUUUAUCAGACCUUCACGCUGGGCAGGUGUAGCCAUCACAGAACAAGCACACAGUGUGGCAGCACAUGGGAGCACUCUGGAGCAGCGCUCCUGAGCUGGGCAGGUCCUGCCUCCUUCUCCAUCCUCACCACGACCACCUCCAAUGCACAGAGGAGCCCUGGGAUGGGGUGACACAGCCUGUCCUUGCCCUUCUGUUGGUGGUCAGAGGGUCGUGCAAAUUUAGGAUCGAACAAAGCUGUCCAUUAGGAGUCCUCCUGCCUCCACAAGCCGUGCUCUGUGUAGGAUAGAUGCAGUUCUCCUCCAGGCUGAGAUGGAUGCAGCCCAGGAAUCGCCCAAGAGACAAUAAAACAAACGUGAGACAAAGCAUUCAUUUACACCGCUUUAUUUCUGUAGUGGUCAGAGAAACUGGGAUGGACCAUUGUUAAAGAUCACUAUUUCCUGCGCUGCAAUAAAUGUCUCAUCUUCCCUGAUGCUUGUUUAUUUUAUAAAUGUCUCUGCUUUGGCUUUCAUAUUUAGCUACCAGCAGGACACCAUUAUUCCCUGACAGCAUUCUGUUCCUUCUCCAUUGUCAUUACGGCCAAAGCGAUGCUAUAUUGCUGUGUCUGGCCGGGAUGGUGGGGCUUUCUUACCUUGCUUUUCCCAUUGCUUUUCCAAGCUGAACUCCCAGAGAGGCACAGCACAUAGGUGGCAAUGCUAAAAAAGCAGUGCUUUCUUAAAGCGCUAGCAGUGCUGCUUUUCACUUCAAAAAGCAAAACAAAACCCACCAUCCUUUAUUAUGAUUUUUCCAAGCACCAUGGGAAGAAGCCAGGUUUACGCACACGGGCUGUGCCUGCAUUGCAGCCCUGAGGCUGAAGGCACUGAGCAGAGGGUUGGGGGGUGCAGGAGGAGAUGCUCUGGGAUGUGGGCAGCAGCAGAGCCCCAUGGGCUGGGAAGCAGUGACCCUGAGGGCAGCAGCCUGACCCUAUACCCGUGCGGUGUGAUGGGGACCUGCCCAUCUGCACAUGGGAGUAGAUCCGAGUGCCUGUGUAGCACAGCAAGAUUAGCAGUGUAGGGCCUGCUGUAAAGAUCCUUGAAGUCCAUGAGAGCAUUUCCGUUGAUUUCGAAGGCUCUGGAUUACACUCUUUAACAUCCACAAAUGAAAGAUACUGUAUUAGAGCAAACCGUUAUUAUUUAGGGCCACACUGCCCAUCUGUUGUGCUGCUCUCAGGGCAUCACCAGCAGACCAGCAAAACCAACAGAGCCCCAUUACGUACUGCUCUGCCUCUCCUUUAGACUGCUGAAAUCUAAUAACCCACCUAACUCUCAUGGCCCUCAGAAACACACACUGCAUUCCCUUCAACGUGGCCGUGUCUCUCUGCUUUUUUUCCUUGACAAAAUUCCCACGUGGAGGUAUCAGGGCUUUCCUACAGCUCUAUUUCAUUUACAAAAUAAGUGGAUCGUUAUUUUCCUUAAGAACCAAACUUCAGCCAUAAGUAAUUUCUAGAGAUGUGUCAAGUGGCUCAGCAAAAACGUUAAUCUUGAUCUAUUGGUUUGUUAGAUAUGUUUACAUCCAAUCAGUUAGCUCUCCUUAAACAAAAGUGAUUUAAAGCCCUUUCUGGAGAGCAUGAAAAUGAUUCCCCUGGCACUCAGGGCCAUAAUCCAACAAAAGCAGGCUUAUCUUUAAGCAUAUGAGUAGUCCUGCCAAAGUCAAUGGGGCUCCAGAUGUGUUUAAAGAUAAACACACACUUGAGUGCUUCGCUGUGUUGGAACUCUGAAUGUUUUAUUUGCAUUUCAUUUCCAUAGCAGACUUUCAUGUAUAUUGAAAUCUGUAUGCAGCAGAAGGGGAUUGUUGCUGGGUGCUACAUUGAAAUAUGAUUUUUAAGAAUAUGGGAAGAAAAUCCCCCAGUCAAGCAUAUGUCUUUUAAUGAUUGAAAAUAGUUAUUUGAACUACGAGUCCAUAUUUGAAUUGAUUUAUUUUGGGCUUGUAGCAGAAAUGCUAAGUGAUGGCUCGACCCAGUGAUUGAGCACCUGGUGGGAAGGCAGGGCCAACCCAGGGGAGCUCAGGUGCACGCAAUGCAAUGCAAUGCAAUGCAAUGCACCUGAGUGAGCAGAGGGGUGAAGCCAGGAUCCACCCCUUCUCAGACCUCAUUUAAGGGUUGGCUGUGGAGGUGAGGGUAUUUUGCUGAACAUCCUUGCCUACCUGAAGCCUUCCGAACGUAAGCAGCUUUUUGCCUUUAUUUCUGUGCCCGUGGCUGUUGUGUUUGAGCCUAUCCUCACUUGCUGCAGCUUAGGGACUUGCUGCUCUGCUGUCAUUGCUGCACUUUCUAUUAUGUUACAAUGCUUCAGAAGUGCUGCAAACAUGGAAUUGGGUGGCAAAGCCCUGCAGAUUCCCCACCCCUGCUCUGCUACAGGUCCAUGUCCCACUAAAGGCAUGUUACCUCACACACAUCCCCUCACCUUUGCAAACGUGAAUACUAUCAACAUUCAGUUCACCUCACUGCAGCUACCUAUGAGAUGUUUGGGUAGUGGUUUGGCAAUAGGCAAAUCUGAAAGCUGCUUCUAUGGGUAAAAUAAAAUGGUGAAAUUCCUGAUGAGAGAACUACUUGAGCAAAAUAUGCUUCUUGAGCCAUCCCUGCGUCCUAGGGAUCAAGUUAACCUAACAGCAGCUUUAUGCAAACAUUUCUGAGCAGUUCUUAGCAUUUCUCAGAAUGAGCCCAGUUACAGAUGACUGAGCUCAAGGUGAAGGUGUCGCAACAAAAUCACCCCAGCGAGUUAAGCUAAGCAAGGUGAGCUUUCUAACACAGUGGUCUGCAUGGCCCUUUCUAUGAACUGCUUUUGAGCUGAGCUGUGUUGUUUGGACACUUGUUAAAGCUGCUCCACAGACACCUUUGGCAGGAGGAGGAUGAGUACUGCAUGCGUCACUCUGCUCAAAAGCUCUACAGAAUCCGUGGUGUUUUGCCUAUCUGACACUGAACUCCUUUUGGCAACUCAUAUUUGCUUUUUGCCUUGGGAUUUCUCAGUGAAGAAGAACCUGCUGGCUUCUUUUCAGCCUUGAAGUCCAGUUUUUCUGCUGUUCUCUGCCUCUGUGCAGUCAUCUGUCCUUUCCUUCCAACUCAGCCCCACUCCAAACAGCCCUGUGAAGCUCAGUCCAUUAUCCCCUUUCUCCAUAAAACAUUUUUGACUUUUCAUAUGUAAUGCUCUCUAUAAGAAUAAAACACAUUGUGCUGUUUUAAUAGUGUAAUUCUUAAACAGUUAUGGCCCCAUUCUCUUUCAUUCAAAGUGCAUAAUUCCCAUUGACAGUAGUAGAUGGUGAAUUAGUUCCCGCGAUAAAGUGAAAUGGUUAGACACUGGAAGGUCCAAUUCUAUUCUUCAUUAGGAUAAAAUGAAGGUGUAACACACACGAAGAUAGAAAUGAGACAGAAUUUCAUGGAAUGGCUUCAUAUGAAGCAGGCAGUAGGUCACUAGCUGAGCACUCCUAGGAAUUGACCCUAAUCUGGCAGCAGCCUAAAUCAAGAGUAAUUUUAAUAACGUGAGCAGCACUGGAUCUCGGUGGCAGAGCUUCAGGUGGGUCACAGAGUCAUAGAAUUACAGAAUCAUUUGAGUUGGAAGGGACCUUUAAAAGUUAUCUGGACAGACUGUCUCACAACGGGGUUCUCAGAGCUGCAUUCUGCUGGGCUGAAGGAAGCUAUGGGGGUUGGAAUUUGGCUUCCCAUGCAGGUACAUGGGGAUCUGAGCAUUUCAAGAGCAUGCCUUUGGAAACAAGCCAAGAAAUACUUCACAGCCAGAUACCACGUCUUUAUGUCAUGCGUGCCUUACUGAAAGGUAGAGAGUGGGUAGCAUCAUUUCCACACCUUAGAGCUUAACAAUGUACCUUGGCAGGUAUUCAGCAUCCCUGCUGAAUAACCCCUCUGUUUUCUGAAUGUUUUUCACUUUUCUUGGUGAGUGGUCUUAGAUUUAGAGCAUGGCCCUGGAGACCUCAUUCUGUCCCUCUGACACUAUUGACCAGCACGUUUUGUUCUUCUCAUCCACCAAACCAAAAAUGCAAUUUAAUACAAUACAAUAAUAUAAUGAAAAUAAAACAUUUUCCCAUCUAUAAAUAUAAAAUAAGGUUUAUUUCUUUCUUUAUCCAAUUGGUCUUGUCCUGGCUGCAAGCAGUCUCCAAGCAUUUGCCAGCACUACAGACUUCAGGCUUUGCUUUACAAACACAACUUGUUGAGCCAUCCUCCAAGGUUUGGGCAAAGCACCAGCAGAAAGCAGCCCAUGUCCUCAGCCUCACAGCGCACGCACACCUCUUGUACCUCCCUACCUCUGAAGCCCCAGCUGAGCACCAAAAGUAAUGGAGAAACGUUCUUCAGAGAAAAACAAACCCAAACUUAAGCGCAGUGCACAUCUCUCACCUGUAAAUAUCUCCUUUGGGUGAUGGAUUUCCAGCUAGGAAUGUUAGAUUCAAUCACGCUUAUCGCUGUGUUCAGCCCCAUGUAAUGAGAUAAUCCUAACAAUGUCCAAUUCACUUUAAAAUCAAGCCAAGGUACCUUCUUCCACAAUCUUCCGCAGCAGCAGCUCUCACAGGUGAUGAAACAUGUCUGGGCAUGUUUCUUUUCAUUCUAAAUGUGUCUCUUUUUAAUUUAACGUGAUGCUUGUUCUCAUAUUGUGUGAUAAAAUGAAGCUCUGAUGCUGCGUUCUUGAGAAUUUUGACUUCCGCAAUCAGCUCCACUUUAAUCUUCUUCUCAGCAAAAUAAUUUCAGGCUGUGCCAUCUCUCAUAUAUUAAUCCUAUCAGCUCUGUAAUUAUUUUCAUUAUCAUUUCUCGAGCAUUUUUUGGACUCCUCUCAGGAGGUACAGCAGAGGAUAAAAAAAAAAAAUGCAGAAUUAAUGGGGAUCUGUGGCAUAAUCCUGUGUUAUCCCGGUGGUUUUGGCAUCCUGCUCUGUUUUUGUUUAAUAAAUGUAAACAAUCCCUUUAUAUUUUUAAGCUGCUGCUACAGAUUGAGCAACAUCAGAUGCUGAUGGCUCUCGGUGCAGGUUCUUUUCCCUCAGAGGUACCUGAAAAUUCAGGGCUUUUCAGAUCAGUGGAGCUCUAUUGCUAAUCACCAAUGGUUUGCAUUACCUUGUUUAGCCAUGUUCAGAGCUGUCUGCCGUUGUGAUGCUCAGCUUCCCACUGUGUUUAAAUUCAUUAAGCGAUGUACCCUUCAGAACUCCAUGCACGGUCUCCUACAGGUCCUUACAAACCAAAUGGUGAUGAUAUUUUGGUUAUGUUUUCCAUCAUUUUCCUUGACAAAGUGUUGUUAGGAGCUUUGCUGAAGCAUUCCUUUGGGCACCCACCCUUAGAAUAAAUCUUCGCGGUUUAAAAUCGAAGUGCUGAAAGAGUACAUGCUGGGUCUGCUCCCCUGACCGUGUCACCUUAGCAAACUUCUCCUCGUGAGCUGUUUAAACCUUCGAGCUUGCUUGUAUUUGCUAUGGGAAUGAAUAGGAUUGCAGGAGCUUUAGCACGCAGCAGAGACUCGUGGGCUAGCAGCUUUUGAGGUUAUACCCAUGAGUGCUCGAGCAGAGCUGGUGCAGCUAAUUCCUCUGUCUGCAGAGGGUGAAGCGAAGGCAGAGGGAGGCUGAGUGUUCAGUGCUGAUGGUCACAGAGGGAGCCAGAGACACGGCCAAGGCUGAAUCCGAAGGCUCUCAAUGUGCAGUCAGAGAACAAACAGUAUUUCCUCUUAAUUCGCCGUUUUCCCUCAUGAAAAGAAUCACGUCUCAUGGCUUUCUCUCCCCAUUGUUCCGAUGACUCACAUAAGCCACGGGCAUGAUACAGGCAAUGAAGCUUUGCAUUAAUCUACUGUCCAGAUUGAUAACUCUAAGGAGCAUCUCAUAAUGACCAAAAUGUGAUUAAUCAUGAUACACGUGUGAUACCCAUGCUCAUUAUUACUGGCCUCCAGAACAGUGCUGCUGAUUCCUGCCAAUAUGCUCAGUUUCGUAUCUGGAACAGACAAUACUGUAAUUACUGCCAAAGUAUGCAGGAAAAUUAAGCAGCAGCUCGGUCUGCGUUCUGCAUCGGGCUAGCAGAAAGGACUAUAGAAAAGCAUGGGAAUCAACAGCCACAAGGAAUAACAAAUAUUUUCUGUGUGUACUUCAUUUUAAAUAGAUGUUGUCUGACACAGCCAUUUAGUUUGAACUGUUGCCUUGCAGAAUUCUUUCUGGAGGAGGAAAGUGUAGGGCAUGGUGGACACAGCAACUGGAGGAAAAAAAGAAAGGAGCUGAUGAAGCGUAUUUGGAAAAGGAUCUGUCCCUCUAUGAUGUCAACACAUUUUUCUGCAGAGCUCUUUGUAUGAUGUUGCCUACCUGUAAGACAAAUUGUCUUUGUCUCGCCGUUAGAGUUCUUGUGCACCUGCGUCGAUAACUUCAUGUAGAAUACACCAAGAGAUAGCUUUUAUAUCAUGGCAUGGGGACCCACGUGCCAGUGGUCCACACAGUAGGGUGUAUAUGUUGAAAUUGACAGAUAUGGCCAUUUCCUCCCUAGGAGUGACUAAUGCCAGAGGGCAACGGUAGUUCAUUAUGCCAUGCACUGUGUCAGGGAGGUGCCCCAAGCUUAUGGUGGCCAGAAUCCCUACGAGUGAAGAACUUUUUGGUGAAUCUCCUGCUUUGUGAAGAUUGUCUUCUCAGCUGACGGACGGAAACAUCCUGACUCAGGGAAACACAAUAAUGAGGGAUUUGUGUUUCCCCUUUGUUUGCCUUUUGCAGUGCCCAGGGGUUGGAUGUGCAGGAGCAAGUCCUUGGCUCUUCUACAUGAUGUAAAUCUACCAUAUUCUCUGUUUGUUGAGAGCAACCAGGAAGGUAUUCAGGGCCCAAGAUUCCAGUUUAGGAAGUUGUAGCAAUGAUGGGCAUCUUCCCUACUCAUUGUUUGAAAGAUUGUGAUAACAGCAACAGAAAUAAUGGCAGUCAAUGAGAAAUGAAGUUCUUAGUUCUUCUGUGCAUCAGAAUACACUGCAAGCUGAUAAGCUGUGUAUGGAAAGCAUCACAGUAGUCUGUGUAGCAAAGUACAGCCAGGGAGUACACGUGCAGUGUGCUGAGGCAUUUUUAAGCAAUAUUUAAGAGGAAAAGAGGUAACCCCUAAUCUGCUUAUCCAGUGGUGCGUGGGUAAGCGUGCUGACGCUGAGGAUGUCCCUGGAGCUAUGGCAGUAAGAAGGGAAAGCAGGGAACCUCAUUCCAGGUUAUGAAAGAACAUAAUAUGCAGGAGUGUUUUAUGUAAGUCUACGAGGGGGGAAAAUGGAUGAAAAUAGGGGAAUGGAGUUGUAGUGACUGUUACACCUGCAGAAGAAGUUGACUUUAGAGGUGGUCAUAAUGUGAAUUUCCUGUGUGUGCUGUGUUUGUAAUGUGUGAAAACAAAUUUAACUCAUCAGGUGGGAAAGUUCUUACAGAACUGAUGUCUGUGGACAGAAAGGAGUUUGUAACACAGUUAAGAUGCUGCAUGUACAGAACAAAAUUUCCCUGGACUUCACUGGGCUUUGGAUCAGACCUUCCUUCUGAAUUAAAAAAAAGAAGAGUACCACAUAAAUACAGUAUUCGUUUUGCAGAUAUUCUGCUUCAAACAGAGUAACUGAGUUCAGCCACUCUGCUUUUAUUAUUAUGACAAAUAUCUCCACAUUAGCAUAAGGGAAAACAAGGGGUGAAAUGCCAGGCGUGCUCCCACGCAUCUGAACCAACAGAAUCGCUCUCUGCAUUUUGCAGACCUUCUGCAUGAAUCAUUAUGCCCAUUCUGUGUAAUAAAUAAUAAUAAUAAUAAUAAUUUGUGAUGUAAAAAGUGCUCUCAAGAGAACUUUGUUUUAUUUAGCAUUUAAUAAAUGUAUUCAGCAAGGACUGCCUUGCCUAUACACGUAUAUGCUAUAUCCGUAUUUGUGUGCCUCAUGCAGCAAAGCUGCUACCUGCUAAACACAGAUCUAUACUUCGGCCACGUGAGAAUGCCCCACUCAUCAGCUCCACUUGUUGCACCUCUCCUGGGAUGGCCAAAUCUCUCACAAAUGUGCAGUUUUAUGAGCAUCCCUCGGCACGACAGGCGUCACACAGCACUGCAAAUUCAUGAACGAAACGAACUCACUCCAUCCUCUCUCUGGAUCUGCAUGGAGCCUCUCACAAUGGGGCUGUGAUUUAUUUGGGGCCUCUGGGUAUGACUGCCAUACAAGUAGUAACUAAU
ensembl:lncRNA